UACGUAGGGUGCGAGCGUUGUCCGGAAUUACUGGGCGUAAAGAGCUCGUAGGUGGUUUGUCGCGUUGUUCGUGAAAACUCACAGCUCAACUGUGGGCGUGCGGGCGAUACGGGCAGACUGGAGUACUGCAGGGGAGACUGGAAUUCCUGGUGUAGCGGUGGAAUGCGCAGAUAUCAGGAGGAACACCGGUGGCGAAGGCGGGUCGCUGGGACGGUACUGACGCUGAGACGCGAAAGCGUGGGGAGCAAACAGG
rnacentral:rRNA from 1 species